ACAAUGUGUAUGCCACCAUUGACUAUUUUCUAAUAGAAGGGUUUGAGGACGAAGCAGGCGGGGAUACUCGGAUUUUAUGCAGGCUUAUCGAUCGCCCUGAGAGUGAGGGAUGCAAGCUUUCAAUCAUUGAUGGAAUUUCGAAACUGGAAAUUGGGAGGUCUUUAUCUUUACCAAUCACUAUAAUCGACUCUGGAAAGGUCAAUCACUAAACUAU